rnacentral:rRNA from 1 species
AAGACGGAAAGACCCCGUGAACCUUUACUAUAGCUUGACACUGAACACUGGUCCUUGAUGUGUAGGAUAGGUGGGAGGCUUUGAAGUGUGGACGCCAGUCUGCAUGGAGCCGUCCUUGAAAUACCACCCUUUAAUGGCUGGUGUUCUAACGUGGGCCCGUGAUCCGGGUUGCGGACAGUGUCUGGUGGGUAGUUUGACUGGGGCGGUCUCCUCCUAAAGAGUAACGGAGGAGCACGAAGGUCAGCUAAUCCUGGUCGGACAUCAGGAGGUUA